UGAACGCUAGCUACAGGCUUAACACAUGCAAGUCGAGGGGCAGCACAGAGAUAGCUUGCUAUCUUGGGUGGCGACCGGCGCAAGGGUGCGUAACGCGUGAGCAACUUGCCCGUUUCUGGGGCAUAACCGGUGGAAACGCCGACUAAUUCCCCAUAGUAUUGAUUCCAGGCAUCUGUUAUCAAUUAAAGAAUUUCGGAAACGGAUAGGCUCGCGUGACAUUAGCUAGAUGGCGGGGUAACGGCCCACCAUGGCGACGAUGUCUAGGGGUUCUGAGAGGAAGGUCCCCCACACUGGAACUGAGACACGGUCCAGACUCCUACGGGAGGCAGCAGUGAGGAAUAUUGGUCAAUGGUCGAGAGACUGAACCAGCCAUGCCGCGUGAAGGUGACGGCCCUAUGGGUCUUAAACUUCUUUUGUAAGGGAGCAAUAAGUCUUACGUGUAGGAUGAUGAGAGUACCUUACGAAUAAGCAUCGGCUAACUCCGUG
rnacentral:rRNA from 1 species